CCCUACCAGAACUGGCUAUAGAUCCAUCCCUGAUACAUGACAUCUGACAGACAACUUGAAACGAACCGCUGCUCAGUAGUGGAAUAAUGAACUUCAAUUUCUUUCAUUGCAUGAAAAUUUUUGCUAUGGGUCUGUUGGUGCAAUGGAUUUGGAUAAUAGUGUGUGACUGUGUGUCUAGUAAUAUGAAAACGUUUAUUUAAACAGGAUUGCCCCAGUCAGCUUGAACUGGACGCUGGUAUUCAUAGGAAUCGUGCAUGCAUGUUACAAUAAAAUUCAAACAUUUCA